GUUUAUUCCAUUGACAGUUUGAGCUCCAGGCUCAUCCAGAUUGGCUGGUCAGCUCUCAAUCUGUUUGUGGAAUCUGGCACACACAGAGCCCCUGAAUCAGGGGCCAAGGGGAUCCGGGUUUCUUUAAAUGAUGGUGCACACCAGCUCCGAAUUUUUCACAACAAUCCUUGCCCAGAUCAGCCCUUCUCUGCCAGUUCUCUGACUUUGGUAGGACGGUAUGUGCCCUGUGCAACCCUGCUGGUGAGGGUUUUCAAGGCUCCUACAGAUUUCAGACACCAAACUUUGCAGAGAAACAUGGUCCCCCAGGCACACUGGGUCAAUAUGGGUCUCUUCCAACCUAGGCCAGAUUAUUCUGAAGAAGUAUAUUACUCAGAUUCAGCCAAGCCUGAUGGAGGAGAAAUUUACUUCUAUGAAGCCAUGAUGAACAGAUUGAGUUAG
rnacentral:lncRNA from 1 species